rnacentral:rRNA from 1 species
AGUGAACGCUGGCGGUAGGCCUAACACAUGCAAGUCGAACGGCAGCACAGGAGAGCUUGCUCUCUGGGUGGCGAGUGGCGGACGGGUGAGGAAUACAUCGGAAUCUACUUUUUCGUGGGGGAUAACGUAGGGAAACUUACGCUAAUACCGCAUACGACCUACGGGUGAAAGCAGGGGGUCUUCGGACCUUGCGCGAUUGAAUGAGCCGAUGUCGGAUUAGCUAGUUGGCGGGGUAAAGGCCCACCAAGGCGGCGAUCCGUAGCUGGUCUGAGAGGGUCAGCAGCCACACUGGAAGUGAGACACGGACGAGACUCCUACGGGAGGCAGCAGUGGGGAAUAUUGGACAAUGGGCGCAAGCAUGAUCCAGCCAUACCGCGUGGGUGAAGAAGGCCUUCGGGUUGUAAAGCCCUUUUGUUGGGAAAGAAAUCCAGCUGGUUAAUACCCGGUUGGGAUGACGGUACCCAAAGAAUAAGCACCGGCUAACUUCGUGCCAGCCGCCGCGGUAA